CGAACACCUCCCCCUCGCAGCCACUGGAGGAGGAGGAGGAGGAGGAGAGUGUCUGAAGGAGUGUUGAGAUUUGUAACUCUGGUGCCCUCCUCUCAAGUUCGGAUUCCAGGUGACCCUCUAUAACUUGCAGCUGUGAAAGGCCUCGGGACGGUCGCCCCACACAGAAAGUAAACAAACAUGGCUACCUUAAUGACAGAAUUUCAGCAACAAUUUGCCACCGUAACAGCUGACAUCACCCACAAGAUAUGCCAGAUCGCCACCAGGGAGGAGCCGGAGCAGAGGACGCUCAUCCUGGAGGUGGAGAAGCUUGUGGACGAGGCGAAGGAGCUGCUGGAGCGUAUGGAGCUUGAGGUGCGUGAUGCGGAGCCGGCAGUGCGGGAGAGGCUGCGGGCACACAUCCGGGGCUACCAGGUGGAGCUGAGGCGCCUCGAGGCAGAGUGUGGCAGAGUGCGGGCCUCAGCUGCUGCGCCUGGCAGCAGCGUGAGGGAUGAACUUCUUGGCGGGGGUGAGGGUGUGAGCGCUGGGCUGAGUGCCGGGGAGGAGCAGCGGCAGGCACUUCUGGACAACACGGAGACACUGGAGCGCACCUCGGCCCGCCUCACACAGGGACACAAGAUAGCGCUGGAGACAGAACACAUUGGAGCACAAAUCCUCAAUGACCUACACGGCCAACGCCAGACUCUCUCCCACGCGCGGCAGAGACUACGGGAGACAGACAGCGACCUUGACCAGAGUUCCCGGGUGUUGGGGUCAAUGCUGCGGCGAACACUGCAGAACAGAUUUGUGCUAGAGUGACACGGGCCGUGGCUGCCUGUGUGUGCUGAUGCAGUCUUGGUGCCUGGCGGGAGGUGCCUGGGAGGGCCGAGAGCUGCUCACGAGGGCCAGCAAAGCUCACAAUGGCCUUGUGAGAAUGUUCCUUUUGGCGAGGGUUUUCAUUUCGCGUUUUGUGACUUGAAACGAGGUAACUACUAGAUGGGUCUGCCCGACGUUCUCUCCAGCCUUGAACUUCCCUCAGCAUCGUGUCCUGGUGACGCCCUCAGUCUGUCGCCAGCUACUGUGGCACUCGAUGAGGACAACAUGGGAAGAGCUGAGAGGAUCUGAGAUGAAGACUUGGGUUUAAACAGCAAAGGAGAAAGAAGUUUGCUGCCUUAGGGACCCUCCUACCAUCCUCUACACAGCACCUGGAGGAGAGAGGAAGGUAGAGAGUAAAUAUUAGAGCUACCUCACACACACACACACACACACACACACACACACACACACACACACACACACACACACACCUCCACAUCACAUCCCAUCAUAAGCAGGGCCGCCACCAGCCUCGGGCACCACCCAGUUGAUGUUCUGUGACGGGCACUUGAUGUCACACGUCUUGCAGUGGAUGCAGUUCUGUGCGUUGAUUUGCAGCCUCACUCCAUCACCGGACUCCAGCGGCACGUACUCAUACACACCUGAGAGAGGAACAGUAAUAUCUUUGUCUCUCACUUUCUUUCCCUGAACAAACACCACUCCUUUUUUUUUUUAUUUCCUCUUCUCCACUUCUCUACACACACACACACACACACACACAGAGACCACUUCCUUUCAUUACCUUAUCUCUUCCUCUACACAUACACACAAACACUUCUCACCCUCCUCUGACUCUCACCGGCAGGGCAGAACCUUCCCUCUGGCCCAUCAAAUAUGCCAUGGUUCCUCUCCACAGGCACACUGUCGUUCCGCAGGGUGAGGUGAGGCGGCUGGUCGUGGUCGUGGUUGGUCCCGGUCAGUGCCACAGAGCUCAGCAAGUCAAAGCUCACCUCCCCAUCUGGCUUUGGGUAUGCAAUUGGCUUGGCUUCUGAGGCAGGCUUCAGUCUUUCAGCAUCGCGCACUGUGGGGGGGAGGAAGUGAUGAAGUGAUGGCAAGGAGAGGAAGAGAACUGGAAACUAAGCACUGACAGAGGAAAGAGAGAGAACUGGAGAGAAGAUUUAAAAGUGAAUAAGCAAAGAAAGGAAAAUAACUCAAUAAAUUUAAGAACUGGAGAAGAGGUUUAAAAGUGAAUAAGUAAAGAGAACUCAAUAAAAUUAUAUGAAAAUAAAGCACUAAUGGAAAGAGAGAGAGAGAAGUAGAGAGGAGUAGAUGUUAGAACAAGAAGUGACAGCAAGAGGAAGAGAACUGGACUGAAUUACAUGGAAACUAAGCAAAAAUGGAAGAGAACUAGACUGAAUUACAAAAAAAAAAAAAAAAAAAAAAAAAAAAAAGGAGAGAACAGGAGAGAUGUUCUAUACCAAGUGACAGCAAGAGAGGAAGAGGACUGGGUGAAGGAAGAAGAGAGAACAGAGAUGGUGUGGAACAAGGAGAGUAAGAGCAGAACAGAGCUAAACUGAACUAUAUGGAAACUACAAGCAUUGAGGGAGGAAUGGGAGGAUGAAAGAAAUGGCAAGAAGAAAGAGGAGGAAGAAAGUUGGACAGAUGGAGGAAUCAGCAAGAAAGAGGAGGAAGAGAAGUGACUAAAAAUGAAGAGAUAGUAAGAAGAGAACUGGACAGAAAUAGAGGGGGGACGAAGAAAUGAAAUGUUUUUUUGUUUUUUUAAAUAAAUACAUCUCUCCAUCUCUGUUGCCUGGGUUAAUUCUGUGGUUGAUCCUUGUUCCAUCCAGUAAGGUGUCUGUGGCUGUCCACUCUUUGUAUACAACCAAUAGCCUGACAGCUGUGAACACCUUACAUGUAUGUUGUGGACAGCAGCAGAAAGAUAUGUUUAUCAAGCGUUUUGUUUGUAAAUACUGGAUUCUGAGAGUAAGCCUACAGCUGUGUACAAGAGGACGGCUAGGAGCACAACAAGGUGUCCACAACAUGGCUGAAGACUUGGUUAAAAGAUUACCCAAACACAGGAAUGAAACAGACCCUUUAAAGUGUUCACAGGAGUUGGGCUUUUGUUUGUAUAUGAAGAUCGGACAGCCACAAACACCACGCCAAAGCAAAGUGUCAUGUGAGCCACGUGACACACUACACACACCCACCCCCCACACACCUCCAUGUUUCAGCGUCCAGGGCUCCUUGCCGCGGCCCAGCACGUAGAACAGGCCAGUGUACAGCAGACCGCCAUACAGACCCAGGGGUGAGUGGAAGGAAGGCCGCACAUUCCUCACUGCAUGCAGCUCCUUCCACACCCAGGAGUCCCUCAGGGUUGUCUCGUAGCUCACCGGCUCCACCCCUGUGUGUGUAGUGUUGUGUAGUAUAUUGCCAUUAAAGAACAUACAAAUUUUGAAGUUAUUCGUCACAUGUGGCAAAUCUUUCCAGCAGAGGUAACAAUAAUAUGCCUCAUCAAUUCAAUAGACAUGUAAACAAUGA